rnacentral:rRNA from 1 species
UACGUAGGGUGCGAGCGUUGUCCGGAUUUAUUGGGCGUAAAGAGCUCGUAGGUGGCGGGUCACGUCGGGUGUGAAAGCCCGGGGCUUAACUCCGGGUCUGCAUUCGAUACGGGUCUGCUGGGGUCCGGCAGGGGAGACUGGAAUUCCUGGUGUAGCGGUGAAAUGCGCAGAUAUCAGGAGGAACACCGGUGGCGAAGGCGGGUCUCUGGGCCGGUACCGACGCUGAGGAGCGAAAGCGUGGGGAGCGAACAGG